AGUUAAAAGCUCGUAGUUGAACUUCUGGCUGUAGCGAAAGCUGGCAUUGUCGGCUUUCAUUACAGUCAUCCGCUUGGGAACUCCGAUCAUACUUAACCGUUUGGCGGAAGGAACAGGCAUUUUACUUUGAAAAAAUUAGAGUGUUCAAGGCAGGCUAUAGCCCUGAAUACACAAGCAUGGAAUAAUGAAAUAGGACUGGUUCCAUUUUAUUGGUUAUUGGACUAGUAAUGAUUAAUAGGGACAGUUGGGGGCAUUAGUAUUUAAUAGUCAGAGGUGAAAUUCUUGGAUUUAUUAAAGACUAACUUAUGCGAAAGCAUUUGCCAAAGGAUGUUUUCAUUAAUCAAGAACGAAAGUUAGGGGGACCAAAGACGAUCAGAUACCGUCCUAGUCUUAACUAUAAAACUAUGCCGACUAGGGGAUUGGGCCGGGUCAUUUAUAAACCCAGUCAGCACCUUAUGAGGAAAUCAAAAGCUAUUGGGUUCUGGGGGGGAGUAUGGUCGCAAGGCUUGAAAACUUAAAGGAAUUGGACGGAAGGCCACCCACCCAGGGAGGUGGGAGCCUGCGGCUUUAAUUUGGACUCAACACCGGGGAAAACUUUA
rnacentral:rRNA from 1 species